rnacentral:rRNA from 1 species
UCCGUAGGUGAACCUGCGGAAGGAUCAUUAAUGAAUUUUUGGGUGCUCUCAACGAGGCCCAACCUUCAUUCUUUCCACCCUGUGCACAUUAUCAUGUCAAUUUGUAGCUUUGCUGCACUUUGGCUAUCAUUUUUAAAACUCUACAAGUCUAAGAAUGUUACAAAGUUUAUAAUCAAAUAAAACUUUCAACAACGGAUCUCUUGGCUCUCGCAUCGAUGAAGAACGCAGCGAAAUGUGAUAAGUAAUGUGAAUUGCAGAAUUCAGUGAAUCAUCGAAUCUUUGAACGCACCUUGCGCUCGCUGGUAUUCCGGCGAGCAUGCCUGUUUGAGUGUCAUGAACUCUUCAACCCUCCAAUUUCUUGUUUGAAUUGUGAGGUGUUUGGAUCUUGAACGUCUAUGCUGGCCUUUUCGAAGGCGAAGCUCGUUCGUAAUACAUUAGCAACUCAAUUUCGAUGUACCCGGAUUGACUCGGCGUGAUAGACUUAAUAUUCGCUGAGGACAUCUUGUAAUAAGGUGGCCGAGUUACGAAGUGAAAGCUUCUAAUUUGAAUCUAAAGUCUUAUGUUAGACCUCAGAUCAGGCAGGACUACCCGCCGAACUUAAGCAUAUCAAUAAGCGGAGGAAAAG